CCUACGGUGGGCUGCAGUGAGGAAUAUUGGUCAAUGGGCGCGAGCCUGAACCAGCCAAGUAGCGUGAAGGAUGACUGCCCUACGGGUUGUAAACUUCUUUUAUAAAGGAAUAAAGUGAGGUCCGUGGGCCUUUUUGUAUGUACUUUAUGACUAAGUAUCGGCUAACUCCGUGCCAGAAGCCGAGGUAAUACGGAGGAUCCGAGCGUUAUCCGUAUUUAUGGGGUUUAAAGGGAGCGUAGAUGGGUUGGUAAGUCAGUUGUGAAAGUUUGCGGCUCAACCGUAAAAUUGCAAUUGAUACUGGCGGUCGUGAGUACAGUUGAGGUAGGCGGAAUUCGUGGUGUAGCGGUGAAAUGCUUAGAUAUCGCGAAGAACUCCGAUUGCGAAGGCAGCUUACUAAACUGCCACUGACAUUGAUGCUCGAAAGUGUGGGUAUCAAACAGGAUUAGAGACCCUGGUAGUC
rnacentral:rRNA from 1 species